GCGUGGCAGCUGAAAUCUUGGAAUUUAAUCAAAAACAUUAGACAAGUCAACAAAUACUUUAGCUCGGAAAGCUUCCGGCUUCCGAACUCGUAACAGAAGACAGCGACUUCACCCCCGACGUCAAACCAAUUCCUUCCCUCCGUAUUCUUCCCCAUAACAGAUCUGAAUUCCCAAACCUGAUCUCCCACCAGGAAAAAACCCUCGAAUCUGUCAUAUAAUUCCUUCAUCUUCUUCUUCAGCUCUUUGGCUCCACCCAGACUCUGGUGGAGAGGUGAGGAAUUUCUGAGUUGCCAGAUCCCGGAUAGUUUGGAUUACUAUUUAGGGCUGCUCGUGGGGUUUUAUUUCAGUGAGAUUCGAGCUGCGAGGGGUUGAUUGGGGACUGGGAAUGUUGAUCGAGCCGAUGGAUAUAUGGCUCUGAGAUGGUAGAAAGUGAGCUUCCUUUACAGAAGCUUGAGGUUGGUCAGAGUGAGGGCAGCUUUAGUGAGCAUCCCGUGUCGGUUUUCCGUAGGGAUCCUUCCUUCUCCGGCUGGUUCGAUGAGAAUGGAGCGUUCCAUUCACCUCAACUGGGGGAUGUGAAUAGUGGUGCUGAGGAUUCGGAUUUUGAAUUGCCUCACCUUCAUCAUAGUGAAAGUGAGAUAGGAAAUGGAUCUUUAGAGGCAGAGAGACACCAGGUAAGAGGUACAUUUUGGGAAAGAAUGACACGUGGUGUUGACUUUGGUGAUGUGUCUGCAAGACAUGGGAAAGAGAGUUAUGUGCCAUUUGAUGUAGAGCAUGGUUCUAAAGAUGGUCGGAGUUCGGAUUCAUCACCGGACGAGAAAUUUGUAAACUAUCACAACACAUCAAGGCCGUUUUCCAGAAGUCCUAUUUCGGUUGCUGAUGUGCUGAAGACACUGUUCUUUAUACUUGUUUGGUAUACUUUCAGUACAAUUUUGACAUUGUAUAAUAAAACACUUCUAGGGGAUCAUUUAGGGAAGUUCCCUGCUCCCCUACUUAUGAAUACUGUCCAUUUUACAAUGCAAGCUAUUUUGGCUAAUGCAAUAACUUGGAUUUGGUCUGAAAGAUAUAAGCCAACUAUACCAAUGUCAUGGAGAGACUAUUUCUUGAGAGUUGUACCAACAGCUCUUGCCACUGCAUUAGAUGUUAACUUGAGCAAUGAAUCUCUUGUUUUCAUCACGGUUACAUUUGCCACCAUGUGUAAAUCAGCAGCACCAAUAUUCCUGCUGUUUUUUGCCUUUGCUUUCAGGUUGGAGUCUCCAAGUUUUAAACUGUUCGGAAUCAUCUUAAUUAUCUCAGUUGGAAUAUUGUUGACGGUUGCAAAGGAAACGGAGUUUCAGUUUUGGGGUUUCAUCUUAGUUAUGCUUGCUGCUUUUAUGUCUGGGUUUCGAUGGACAAUGACGCAGAUACUUCUGCAGAAAGAAACCUAUGGUCUGAAAAAUCCGCUUACCCUAAUGAGCUAUGUUACUCCAGUGAUGGCUCUUUCAACUGCACUGCUCUCGCUUUUUUUGGAUCCAUGGCAUGAAUUCAGUAAGAGCCAUCACUUCAAUAGCUCAUGGCAUAUCACCAGAAGUUGUUUACUGAUGCUUUUUGGUGGAACUCUGGCUUUCUUUAUGAUUUGUUGCAGGUGUUGACAGAAUUUAUUCUUGUAUCUGUUACAAGUGCAGUUACGGUGACAAUAGCGGGAGUUGUCAAGGAGGCUGUUACUAUUUUGGUUGCUGUAUUUUACUUUCAUGAUGAAUUUACCUGGUUGAAAGGGCUUGGUCUUGGAACAAUUAUGGUUGGUGUCAGCUUGUUUAACUGGUACAAGUACAAGAAAUUACAAAAGGGUCACUCGAGUGAAGAAGAUGAAAUAGAAGGGUCGGUUACUAAAAAUGCCACCAAGUAUGUCAUUCUUGAAGAAAUGGAUGAUCAAGAAGAUGAUGGGCCUUGACUUCUCUGUACCACUUUUAUUUUGAUUGGUGAACUCGAUGUUGGUGACUGACAAAACUGACCAGUCUGCUCUGCUUGAUGUAUUAGUAGAUAGAUUGGUGCAUGCAUAUUCCGGGACAAUCCUACCUGGGAGUGGGCCGCUGCUCUGCAUAGAUAGUUCUCGUGAUCUCUGCCUGCCUUUGAAAGUGGAGGAUAGUUUUAUGUGUAUGAAGUGAAUAGCCCCAGUUUUGUGUGACAUAUCAUCACAUAUACUACAUAUAUUCAAUUGGCUGUAUAUCUCUGCAUUCUGAAUCAAAUCACCCUCACAAUUUUACCUCUUUUCUGAUUCAUAUACAAAUUCUUGCUAAAA